rnacentral:ribozyme from 12 species
AGCAAUUUUGUGCUAAUUUGUUUUUCUUAAAAGUUCUUGAUAUUUCUUUUGAUGAAAAAAAAAAAAAA